rnacentral:rRNA from 1 species
GACGAACGCUGGCGGCGUGCUUAACACAUGCAAGUCGAACGGAAAGGCCCUGCUUUUGUGGGGUGCUCGAGUGGCGAACGGGUGAGUAACACGUGAGUAACCUGCCCUUGACUUUGGGAUAACUUCAGGAAACUGGGGCUAAUACCGGAUAGGAGCUCCUGCUGCAUGGUGGGGGUUGGAAAGUUUCGGCGGUUGGGGAUGGACUCGCGGCUUAUCAGCUUGUUGGUGGGGUGGUGGCUUACCAAGGCUUUGACGGGUAGCCGGCCUGAGAGGGUGACCGGCCACAUUGGGACUGAGAUACGGCCCAGACUCCUACGGGAGGCAGCAGUGGGGAAUAUUGCACAAUGGGCGGAAGCCUGAUGCAGCAACGCCGCGCGCGGGAUGACGGCCUUCGGGUUGUAAACCGCUUUCGCCUGUGACGAAGCGUGAGUGACGGUAAUGGGUAAAGAAGCACCGGCUAACUACGUG